AACCUGACCUCUGAAGCUACAU
rnacentral:miRNA from 1 species